UACGUAGGGUGCGAGCGUUUGUCCGGAAUUACUGGGCGUAAAGAGCUCGUAGGUGGUUUGUCGCGUUGUUCGUGAAAUCUCACGGCUUAACUGUGAGCGUGCGGGCGAUACGGGCAGACUAGAGUACUGCAGGGGGAGACUGGAAUUCCUGGUGUAGCGGUGGAAUGCGCAGAUAUCAGGAGGAACACCGGUGGCGAAGGCGGGUCUCUGGGCAGUAACUGACGCUGAGGAGCGAAAGCGUGGGGAGCGAACAGG
rnacentral:rRNA from 1 species